rnacentral:rRNA from 1 species
UACGUAGGGCGCAAGCGUUAUCCGGAAUUAUUGGGCGUAAAGAGCUCGUAGGCGGUUUGUCGCGUCUGCCGUGAAAGUCCGGGGCUCAACUCCGGAUCUGCGGUGGGUACGGGCAGACUAGAGUGAUGUAGGGGAGACUGGAAUUCCUGGUAUAGCGGUGAAAUGCGCAGAUAUCAGGAGGAACACCGGUGGCGAAGGCGGGUCUCUGGGACGGUACUGACGCUGAGACGCGAAAGCGUGGGGAGCGAACAGG